GAUUCUGCUGCCUCAGUCUCCCAAGUAGCUGGGAUUACAGGCCACCACCAUCGCUCACCCAAGGACUAUCACAGCUUCUUACUGGGUCUGCCCAGCCCCGCCCUUAUUGCCUGAUUCUUCCCCAGAGUGCCCUCCACUCUGGCCACCAAGUAUCCUCUCUCACCACUUUCCAACUUUCUGGGAUUCAGAAGACUAUCACGAACACAGCAUGAUGGGGUUGGGUAUGGACAGAAGAUUCGGAGAGGUUUGAAACUAGGAACAGUUUUGAGAAGUUGGCAGAAUUGAUCCAGGUGCCACCUUCCCUCCCUCCUUUCCUUUGAUGCCCAGAACAUCCUGUUGUCCUGGUAGAGGGAAUCCAGGGCUCCUUCCCCUGUCAGGAGGUCCCCUCCAUCCUGCCUCAAGGCUCAUCCUCUCAUCUCUCAGCUUGGCGUCCCUCCUUUCCUCUGAAUUCUUGCUGUUCCUCCUGAGGUAUCUGCUAAUCCAUGGCUGGCCUCUCAGUGUCUCCCAUGUUGAAGCUCCUUAAAAAGAAACCCACACCCUGGAAUAAUUCCUGUUUUCCACAAAGCAGAGAAAUGUUAAUUAUGAGAUUACAGGCAGCAAGGGAGGAUGAAGGAAAUAGGAAGAGAAAGAGGAGGAAAAAACAAAGAAAAUAAAGGAAAACACUGUUCCUUUGUUUGUGCUGGGGAUUGAAGCACAGGGCUUUGUGCAUGGCCAGUCCCUGGUGACCCUGGAGGAGAGGGGCAGCAGGUGACCGUGGGUGAGACAAAUAAAACCUGCAGAAUCUGA